UCCUAGCCAGUGUUGUCUUCCCACCAUUUGUCACACUAAACCAAAAGAAUAAAGAAAAAAAAAAAAAGAAAUACCAAGAAAGUACAUACAUUAAAAGAACAUAAAACAUUUUUAGCUGAUCUUAGAAAAAUGGAUAUUUAAAACAAUAUAUAAUAUCUAAGAAAAAGUUAUUUCUUUAUAGGUAUACUUUUUCUGUUGGCAAAACCACAGGCCCACCUAGAGCUGAUGCAACAAAUGAUAAGAAAUAAGCUGGAAAGGAUGGAGCAGAAAGACUACUACUCUGAGAAAUCAAGACUUCACUAUAUCACCAAAUGGCUACAGCACAAAAAACUCCUGACUACACACGUACUUACAAGAACCUGUGCUUAUUCCUAGGUGGUCCUCACACAUCAGGAAAUUCAGAUUUCAUUUCUAAUAACUGGGAACCACUGAAUACUGUUCAUCAGGUGAAAGAAAAAUGAACAUUUUGUAUGAAAAUUAAACUGGUAAAGGUAAGUAGGAAAGAUUAAGGGGGGGGAGGCUGGAAUUAGAGACUGAUGGCUUGACUAGGAUGGUGACAGUGAGAAUGGAAAGGAAGGGAUGGACAAGAGAAGCAAUAUAGAGAAAAACUGACCUUUGUUAUGGUUAGAUAGGAGCAAGUCAAGGCAGAAGUCUGACAUUUAAUUUAUCCAAUUCUUUUUUUUUUUUUUUUUUUUUUGCUUUUUAGGGCCACACUGUAGCCUAUGGAA